rnacentral:rRNA from 1 species
GCAGUAGCCGCGGGAAUACAGAGGGUGCGAGCGUUAAUCGGAUUUACUGGGCGUAAAGCGUGCGUAGGCGGCUAAUUGAGUCGGAUGUGAAAUCCCCGAGCUUAACUUGGGAAUUGCAUUCGAUACUGGUUAGCUAGAGUGUGGGAGAGGAUCGUAGAAUUCCAGGUGUAGCGGUGAAAUGCGUAGAGAUCUGGAGGAAUACCGAUGGCGAAGGCAGCCAUCUGGCCUAACACUGACGCUGAGGUACGAAAGCAUGGGGAGCAAACAGGAUUAGAUACCCCAGUAGUCCCUGUCUCUUAUAC